rnacentral:rRNA from 1 species
AACGAACGCUGGCGGCAGGCCUAACACAUGCAAGUCGAGCGAGGACUUCGGUCCUAGCGGCGGACGGGUGAGUAACGCGUGGGAACGUGCCCUUUGCUUCGGAAUAGCCCUGGGAAACUGGGAGUAAUACCGGAUGAGCCCUUUGGGGCAAAGAUUUAUCGGCGAAGGAUCGGCCCGCGUUGGAUUAGGUAGUUGGUGGGGUAAUGGCCUACCAAGCCGACGAUCCAUAGCUGGUCUGAGAGGAUGAUCAGCCACACUGGGACUGAGACACGGCCCAGACUCCUACGGGAGGCAGCAGUGGGGAAUCUUAGACAAUGGGGGAAACCCUGAUCUAGCCAUGCCGCGUGAGCGAUGAAGGCCUUAGGGUUGUAAAGCUCUUUAAGCUGGGAAGAUAAUGACGGUACCAGCAGAAGAAGCCCCGGCUAACUCCGUG